GAUGAACGCUGGCGGCGUGCUUAACACAUGCAAGUCGAACGGACAGGCCCUGCUUUUGUGGGGUGCUUGUGUGGCGCACGGGUGAGUAUAACGUGAGUAUACUGCCCUUGACUUUGGGAUAACUUCAGGAAAAUGGGGCUAAUACAGGAUAGGAGCUCUUGCUGCAUGGUGGGGGUUGGAAAGUUUCGGUGGUUGGGGGUGGACUCGCGGCUUAUCCGCUCAUUGGUGGAGUUGUGGCUUACCGAGGCUUUGACGGGUAGCCGGCCUGAGCGGGUGACCGGCCACAUAGGGACUGAGAGACGGCACAGACUCCUACGGGAGGGAGCAGUGGGAAAGAUUGCACGAUGGGCGGAAGCCUGAUGAAGCAACGCCGCGUGCGGGAUGACGGCCUUCGGAUUGUAGACCACAUGCGCCUGUGACGGAGCGUAAGUGACGGGAAUGGAUAAAGAAACACCGGCUAACUACGUG
rnacentral:rRNA from 1 species